UUUUUUGCUAAGGCGGGGAAUUUGCACCGUUCUAGUAUGAAUACAUUCAAAAAAAAGUAACAUGUCCCGGAAGGCCUCUGCAAUCAGUCCAGAGCAUAAUCCGAGGUAUAUACAGAGGUAUCUAUGUUGUAUGAGAUGAUUAAUGAGUUUGAGACAGCUCUAUAUCUGAUGAAACAGACUCUUGGAUGCUUGCAAAACUUCCACAGGAGCAGCACUUACAGGAAGCAUCAAGGCAAGGAUGGGGUGGUUGUUUCUUGUGAGAAAAAGAGUGUCCCAGGCUGUUCCAUAUUUGGAAAAUGCAAUUGAGAAGUUGAAGAGCUGCAUUACUCCAAAGCAUUUUUGGGUUGGGUUUUGUCUAUAAGCAUUUGCAACAGGCAUACUUGGAGAUGGACCAGCUGCUGUCUGUGAAGAUGCCAGAACUUGCAAAAGACUUCAUUGAUUUCUCAUUCGAGCCAUACCAUGAGGAUUCAAUAGACACAUGCCAAUGCCUUUCAAAUGCAUAUGGAGCCAUUGGAAGGUGCAUUUUCAUCUCAUCAUUUUACUUAAAUACUAGCAUAUCUUUUGUUUUUAGUUUUCUAGUACCCAUAAGUUAUUAUGGUUUUGAAACUAAGGUUUAUGGUUGACUUUGCGGUAUCUAUCUACGUUAAAUUCAGUUGUCUUAAAGGUACACGUGGAAUCAUUAAUGGUUUACUUCAACCAUAAAAUUUGUUUUUGCACUCAUUUGUCUCGUUGAGCAUGAUACUGAUGCUUGGAUUGAUCUCACCUAUCUUGUCAUCAUUUGCUGGCCAUUGAAUUAUCACAUGUCAAAAAAAAGCUGGGCUGUUUCUUCAAUAGUUUUUCACUUUUCCAUUUGAAAGAACUUGCUUUGGUGCUGAAAAUCUCAAUAUGAUCCGUAAAUUGAUAAAAGGUGAUCAAUUUGCAAAUCUCCUAGAUCUCUUUCUCAACUAGAGAGCUGAACCUGUACCUCUUAAAAAAUUUCAAGUCAUCAUUCACCAAUGAGGUAGUUGAUUCAAUGCUCAAAAGUUCUGCAGAAGAAGCAAAAUAAACACCCAUCCCUGCUGUUUAGUCUUACUUUUCUGCUAGAGUUCAAAUUUCAAGGAUCUUACUAUGAUUGCUCUUGUAAACCAGCUUAGCUCAUUCUUAUUCACAAUAGAACAAUGGAUUUGCUCCACCGAAGAGGUGCCUGGAGUCUCACCAACACAAGUCUUCAGAUAAGAAAAAGGUUAAACUCAGAACUUUUCAUUUAAGAAGCUUGCAGGUAGAAAGUAUCCUCUAGGCUCAAACUCAAUUCUAUUUCAACCAUUUACUCAAACUCAGACUUUCCAUGACAGAAGAUAAUUUAUGACUUCAUAAAACUACAAGAUUUGAAUUUUCAUGGAAUUCAUGAAAAUAUCAGAAAACUACUUGUGUUCUCAGCAGAACUGAUGCCUUUUAUUGGAGAGUGAUCUACCAAGAUCUUGUUGCCUGGUGCAAACCAUUAGAAUGACUACUAUUUUCAUUCAAACUAUGCCUAUCUUCUUAUAUAUUGAUUCUUGAUUCAUGACAUUCUGUCUUGGUUGGAUUGGUUUCUUUGGUCUCUUAUGGCUGCAUCAUCUGAAGUUUCUUCAAGAUCAACGUGAAUAUAGAUUCAAGUGCAUCUACAAUGCUCAAUAUUGUUUGUCAUCAUAUUUGCAUCAAGAAAAAUAUGCAGGAUAUCUUCAAACGUAGUAGUUCACUAGUAAAUUUCUCGGACUAACACUAGAUAGCUUGUUUCUGAAAUCCACCACUUGUUUCUUGGACAUGGUUUUUCAACUUCUGUAAAUUUAACAUCUGACCUCCAUUUAUUUGUGAACCAGACUUUAACAGUGUAAAAAGCUAUUAGGCAAACAAGUUGUUAUAUAAAUCUCUGGCACUAAUAUGGAUAAAUCUUCAAGAUGAUCAUGUGCAAUAUUUUCCCAACAAAUUACUAAACUAGGGAAGGCUCCCCGCCCCCCUCCCCCUUUUUAAUAUAUUUUAAAGGAUGGUCGUUAUAUUGAUGUCGAUCAAUUGAGAUUUUGAAUAUCUUUCUCUGUAAGGGUUCUUUUCUGAUUUGCUACCGUCAACUGAUUUGUUUACAACAUAGGUAGUCUUGUUAUGAGGGGGUUAUGAAGGUACCCUAAUACCUCAAAAAGGUGUCUUAAAUAAAGUUUAUUUCUUUAAAAAUUGAAUCGAUUGCUAUAAUGGAAGAGAUGGGGUGGACGAUGCAUAUAUAUGCUUUUGGAGUCUUGGCUAAUCUCAAUGUACUGGAAUAUUUUCUAAGGCAACAACGUAGUUGAAAUAUUUUAUCAAUUGAAAAAAUGAGAAAGCAGUCAAUGCAGAUAAGUUAAUUGAUAGUUCUAAUGAUAGUUCUAAGUUGGUUAACCUUGGUUAAUCAACUUCUUACCAUUUAUGGCUAAUUAUCAUCAUGAUGGCAACCCUUAACUGUAUAGUAGCAAAUAACUGGCUAACUUUUGGCGAAUGAGGGGCUCUGAGGGCUAAAAGGCUACGAGCAGGAACCUACCUUACAGGCUUAUAGGUUACAUGGUUUAAGCUUGCACAGUCAAGUGUGACCCUCCAAGAUUUCUCUAUUCUUGAAUGGAAUAGAGGGAAGAAGGGAAGCUAAGAUUUCAGGUGGAUCUGUGGGAAACUUAAAGAGGGACAGAACUUUUACAGGUAGCUUUGGUGUAAGGUAGUAGAGGUAAAGGACCACUGCUUGACAUGCUAUGGGUAGAGACCAUGAAUGCCCUCUGUGUGUGUGAGGCAGAGAGAGAGAGAGAGAGAGAGAGAGAGAGAGACCUAGGAAUGAUAAAGGAUUGAAAAACAUGUGCACUGAUGGAGGAUGUAGCGUCUUUCAGAAAUUUAUGCUUUUGAAAAUUCGAAAAGCAGGCUCGAGAGUUGGACUUCAGCUUAUUGGCUAUGCAGGAGCAUAAUAGUGAAAAUUCGAAAAACAGGCUCAGUUUCAUUAAAUUUUUCUAUUCAAUGCAUAGUGACUUUUCUUGUUAAUUUUAUAUUGUUCAAUUGUACAUAAUAGAGUUAUUCACAAAGGCUGAGGAUGCAAUAGGUUUAGGUUUUAACUAGUUGUUUGAUACCCAAUAUGGUUCUUGAUUAAUCUCUAUGUGGUUUGUGCAGGACUAAUCAUCGUAUGCUCAGUAUUAGAUCCUUGUGAUCUGCAUACGUGUGCGUGUGCUUGCAUGCUUGCAGAUGUUUUACAUGCUGUUCAUGUUUUUGUUUGUUGAAGUAGGAGAUUAUUUCUUUAUUGUUAGUUCUUGAUUAUGUUAAUUGAAUCAUAAUCAAAGUUUGAGCAUUAUCUUGUUCUAUAAACCUUCAAUAAUAUCUCAAUGUCUGAUAGAAUGAUAAUUAUUCAUUGAUUAAACUCAACUUUUCGUACUAAUUUUUCGUAUGAGUGAAAGGUGGUUUUGGAUCUAACAAGGGAUGAAUAGUUUGGCAAUGACUUAUUGGCUCAUAUGACAAGUCAUGGUUUCAUCAUUUAUUGGAGGCAAAAAUACGUUUUGCCUAAUCGAUCCUUGUACAAACUAGAACGAACUUAUCAAAUACCCUUAAUGGUUUAGUAGGUGGGGUCAAAAUUAUCAAACAAGAGCUCAUCAUGACUGGUUGGGGUACUAAAAAAGACAAAAAAGAGCUAAAGCAAAGUGUCCCAGCUGAUGCUUAUAUCCUAGUCAACCCAAUUGUCAUUCAUGAAAGACUUCUUAACAAGGAUUUAGGUCACCUGAAAAUAAGAUGGUAGCAUUGGUUCCAUGCCAUUCUGAUAGGAAACCAAGACAGGAACACCUGAGGGACACCAGUUUGUUAAUGGGCUAGAACACACUGCCUAGCCUCGCUGAAAUCGGUCAACACCGGCUGAUACCAAAAGGCAGUUUGACCGGUACCUGGUGCAACCUGACUGGGUUGCUUGAUUUCGAAAGAAAGGAAAAAAAAAGAUAGAGAGCAAUGGGGGCAAUGCUCACUUUCUCUUUGACUUAGCCAUCAGAAGCCAGUGCGGUCAGAGACCAAGAAAAAGAGAGGGAGAGAGGGAGAAGGAGAGAGAGAGAGGAAGGGAGAAGAUAAAGGGGGGGAAGGAGGGCAGAUCCCUCAUAGUGAUCUGGCCUCCUUGACACUGGAAACCUCUUAAAAAAAUGCAUCAAUUUCACUCACCUACUCAUGUAGGAGAAAAUUUUAAAAAAUGAGGAAAAUAAAAGAAAAUUCAAAAUUUGACAUCCUGUUACAUUACAGAUGCCAGACCAUUACAUGCUGUUAAAUUUUCAGCAGUCUGCAAAUUGAUAAUCAAAGUUCCAUUGCUGUUAAAUUUUCAGCAGUCGGCAAAUUGAUAAUCAAAGUUCCAUUACACAGUUUGUAUGCUUUGGUUGUGCAGUGUGAUGGGAAUCAAUUAUAAUUGGCAGUAAACUUUAGCUUGUACCAAGUAAAACUAAUUUUGGUCAUUGAGAAACAUGAAGAAAUGAAAAUGGGUGAAGUGUGGUGAAGUUUGCCUGAAUUCACAUAUUUGGACCUCUAUUUUGAUUCUUGUUGCCUUGCCUAUGUUUAUAACCACCAAAUUUUUCCUACUUGUCUUUGCCUAUAAAAUAUAUUAGCCGCCAGCUUCUUUGCCAUCUUAACCAAUUAGAUUCCUGGGAAGAGGUUUGCCCAUCUUUAUUGUACUUUUUUUUUACCUGUGCGUUUCCUUAGGGCUUGUGAAUCGAAACGAGGUGAUCCACACCGUCCUUUUCAUUAAGAAAAAAGGAUUCUUAUAGCUAGGUUUAUGCAGCCACAUUGGUUUUAGGCUACAAUUGGAAGUUUUUAUUCAUGAAAUUCGAAUAUUCUACUAAAGGCAGAUAUUACAAAUCCCAUGGUUCCAUGAAUUAUCUGAAUAUUCAUUAUGCAAACAAACCCCCAGUUGUAUUUGUAAUUUUAGAAACAAAGGAAAAAUAAAUCAUGAUAUAGAGUAUUUCAAAAUGCACCCUUGUUCUGGAUGUCCAUUUUUUUUCUUUGCUUCCCCCUGAAGUCUUCAUAUUGCAAACAAAUUCGAGGAUUGCCCACUAGAAGUCAUGAUAUUUAAUGGAGCAUGAUGAGCUGUAAAAUUUUGUCAAAUGUUUUUCGCACAUUAUGGACAUGAGACUAAUGCAUGACAGAAUUGAUAACCAUUUGUUUGAAGAUUCCUAUGAAUAAAGAAGGCAAUAAAAACUAUUUCUUAAAAUGUCAGCAUGGAUCACAUAGAGAAAUUUUGGCUCCAAUAUCAACAAACAUAUCUUUGAUAUCUCACAUGUCUAAAUUGUAAAAUAUUCUGAUCUCAUAUAAAUCUGCUAAUAUAGAGGAGAUUAAUUGUUAAAUUUGUAUGCUCUCUAGCUUCACAAAAAGCCUUGGUGCUUUCAGUCAGUAAAUGGGCCCUAUGUAGUUUUUUCUUCCCCACAAGCAAAUCAAGAAAUUAAAUUUAAGGAGAUACAAAAUCUUUAGUUUGUCACUACCCAGUUUCUCCUGUAAGACUAUACUAAUUUUUUGCGUGCAUUAAAACUGACCGUUCCAUGUUGUAAAAUGUUUAUAAUUAUCUAUAAAGCAUUUUGUGAAUUUGUAUCUUUGUGGUACAAAAGAGUUUUCUAUGUCUAAAGAAUCACUCAUCUGUAACUGUAUGUCUAAAUUAUAUUUUACACUCGUUACUCAAGUCAUUGUCUUUUACAUUUGGGACAAAUGAUAUGGUCACAACGUUGUCUACUUCAAAGUGCAGCUAUUCUCUUGCAAUGCAGUUCCAACGACAGGUUGCAGAUGCAUUGAACUCCAAGAGGCUUACCAGCUUCUUGAGCAGCUAAAGAAAAAGGCCAAGGGAUCACCAUCUGCUUCUUUCCUGAAAACACUCUUUCCCUGCCUCCAUGAAAGUGAUGUUACACAUAACAAACUUGUGUAACCUUAUGGUAAGGAACUGUGCAUGAUAACUGAUAAGGCUUCUUGUGGUGAAACAGUAUAGAGAAUUUACCGAUGCCAUUGAGAUACCAAGGAAAAAGGACUCUGCACCUGAUUUUUUUACAUCAUCUAAAGCUGGAGAGUCGUUGUUCAGGUGCAUAAGCUGAGCAUCCAAGUCGCUUACUCAAGUUUCUGACGAAAAUACUAAAUAAUGUGCAGAGGAAAGCUUGUUGAAAACACUUUGCAUCAUCUUCUUGCAUAAUAAUAUUCAUAUGCAAACAAUAUCUUUCCCAAUUUCAUUUAAGAACAAUGCUACCUGUAAGCCUGCAGCCACUGAAUUGAAAUACGUCCCACAAGCAGCUAAAGAGCAUGGCAGCAUUUUGAGGGAGGAUUGGGAUGAAUACCUCUGGGUACAAAACUAAGGUGGAGAUGGCGCCCGGCAGCCAGCUUCCUUGAACAGAUGCGGUGCCGGCCAAUAAACACAUCUGAAGCCAGAACUCCGACUCAAGUUCAAAGCCUAAGUGGAGAUACUAAAGAAUCUAUGGGCUAUGAAGAUUGGCAUCAGGUAUAUUAUGAGAAUGAUAUGUAAGUGCGCAUAAGCUGCUACAUCCCAAACUCAUCAUCUGGGCUGGCUACGUGAUACAGCCGCAUGAACCCUAGAACAGUAUUCUAGAGAUCAUGCAAGGCCUAUAAUAUAAAUCCAAUAACUCUAGAAUAAUCAAUCAUAAAGUUCAACUAAAUAAUCCGUCAUUAUCAAAAAAUAAAGUUCACUCAAUUACAAAAUUCGAAUGUUCAUCUGGUAUCAUAAAAUCAACUAUCUAACUCUGACGCUCGAACUUCAUGUCCAACUCAAUCGAAACUAUGCAUCCGGAUUCUAGAAGAAAAAAAAAGAGGUGGUGUGAUUUUCCACACAAUCACAUCAAUGUGGAUUAAAAAAAAUUUAAAAUAAAGAGUAACUAUAAACCAUAACAAAAUGCUGGCAAAAAUUAUAAAAUUUCAUACCGAUUCAACAUGAAUAAAUCCAUAUAAAUAUGCAUACAUCAUUAAACAUACAGCUCAUUUCAGAAAACAUAUAUUAUCAUACAGUGGUUUCAUACAUUAUAGCUUCCAUUUUUAUCCGGAUUCUCGAUCAACAAUUAGCUUUUCGAUUUGGACUAUUUAUGAUCACGCUUCGGCUCAUCACUAGAGUAAGGCUCUUGGUGGCAAAUCAUAGUAUCUGCACUUCAAUCAAGAUAUCUGUGUUUUGGUCCAUGACAAACCAAAAUAUCUAUAUUUUGGCAUGCGGUGGCAAACAAAUGUGUCAUGAUUCGGUCUGUAACUGGCAAUCUGUAAUAUAUCUAAUCCAAAUCAUUUUAUUCAUUAAUCACAUUAUUUAAUUUUAUCUAUACUAGAGAAAAUAUAAUUUCAUAUUAUAAUUUUUAUCAAAUUUCAAAAUAACCAACAAUAUAUUCCAAACAACUAAAAACAUUAUCCAAGCAUCCAAAAUCAUCGAUAUUUGAUAUGUCUACUCAAUAAAGAAACAUAUAUUUACAUGUAUAUUCAUAUCAAAGAUUAAUUAGCAAUCACACAGUAAAUAAUGCAAAACCUAUAAUUAUCAACACGUGUUACAAAAUAUAUAUUAUUCAUAUAGGUGAUUGUAUAUAGGAAUUUUUAUCUUUAUCAGUCUCAAACUCAAGUAAACGAACACCGAUCCACUCAUUGAUUUACGAACUCGAGGGCAAAGUGUUCUGCUUAAUACUUGCUUUUUCAAAUGAUGGCUCACUUAGAGAGCCAGACCUCAUCAUCAGAACAAUUGUAAACGUCUAGGGUCGAUGAUGAAAAAUUAUAGAAGAAUAGGAUAGAUGGUUGCACCGUGCUAGCUUGGGACCUGUGGUCACAUGACAUUAGUCUGGGACCCUUCCAAGGGUCUACUUGAAUUUCCAAAGUACCUGGACCCGCCAUUGGUCCACUAAAACAUGGAGAGAGAGAAAGAAGAGUAGAGAGAAUAAAGAGAGCAAGAUAGGAAAAAGGCAAGAGAGAGAAAGCAAGAGGAAGAGAGAGACUUGGGGUUCUCUCUCAAAAGAGAGAAAGAAGAGCCCACGACGACGUCCUCCAGGCGGCAGCGAUGAGUGCAUGAUAAGAUAUUUGAUCUUAUCAUAAUAUCUUUUUGUACUCUUGGUAUCACAAAGUUCAUUUAUUCUGAAACUCAUUUCUAGUUGCUAAAGUGAUUUGAUCUUAUUGCUCAUAUGCUCUAAAUCAUGAAAAUCAUUUGCACUGGCACAUUGAAAUAUUAGCUCUGAUACUACACUGAUACAUGCAUGACACAUAAGAUUUACUGAAACAUUAACUCAUGUUACAUGUAUCCUGCUGUAAUAGAUAAGAAAUCUUCAUGCAUAAGAAAUUCUGGACUUAAAACCUUGAUUUGUAAGAAUUUCUUAAUUGUUAAGUUCUCAAUUCAUAAAAAUUCAGUUAUAUUAUUUGCUCUGAUACAUUUUCGGUAUACGAGUAUCUUGCUAUGAUAUAUAAGAAAUCAUGAUGAUACAUAAAUCUUGAUACAUAAUAAUAAUAAUAAUA